rnacentral:rRNA from 1 species
UACGCAGGGUGCAAGCGUUACUCGGAAUUACUGGGCGUAAAGCGUGCGUAGGUGGUUCGUUAAGUCUGUCGUGAAAGCCCCGGGCUCAACCUGGGAAUGGCGAUGGAUACUGGCGGGCUAGAGUGCGGUAGAGGAGAGUGGAAUUCCCGGUGUAGCAGUGAAAUGCGUAGAGAUCGGGAGGAACAUCAGUUGCGAAGGCGGCUCUCUGGACCAGCACUGACACUGAGGCACGAAAGCGUGGGGAGCAAACAGG